GACGAACGCUGGCGGCGUGCCUAAUACAUGCAAGUCGAACGCUUCUUUCCUCCCGAGUGCUUGCACUCAAUUGGAUAGAGGAGUGGCGGACGGGUGAGUAACACGUGGGUAACCUACCCAUCAGAGGGGGAUAACACUUGGAAACAGGUGCUAAUACCGCAUAACAGUUUAUGCCGCAUGGCAUAAGAGUGAAAGGCGCUUUCGGGUGUCGCUGAUGGAUGGACCCGCGGUGCAUUAGCUAGUUGGUGAGGUAACGGCUCACCAAGGCCACGAUGCAUAGCCGACCUGAGAGGGUGAUCGGCCACACUGGGACUGAGACACGGCCCAGACUCCUACGGGAGGCAGCAGUAGGGAAUCUUCGGCAAUGGACGAAAGUCUGACCGAGCAACGCCGCGUGAGUGAAGAAGGUUUUCGGAUCGUAAAACUCUGUUGUUAGAGAAGAACAAGGACGUUAGUAACUGAACGUCCCCUGACGGUAUCUAACCAGAAAGCCACGGCUAACUACGUG
rnacentral:rRNA from 1 species